rfam:Tupaia belangeri cont1.833015, whole genome shotgun sequence.
AGACUUGCAGGGCCUGCGGUAACCGAGCAGAACGCCUUCCUGAAGCCCUCAGAGGACCUCGAGUCAUACUUUGUGGAACUGGAGAAAACGAGUGUUUGGGCCUUUCUUCCAGGUAA